GGUGUAGUGGUUUGAGGACUGGACUAUGACUCCAGAGAUCAGGGUUCAAAUCCCUGCUGGACCA
rnacentral:tRNA from 1 species